UGACAAAGAAUUAGAAGAAUGUAUUUUAAAACAACCAAUUACUCAACAUUUAGAACCAAGAGUGGGAGAUGUCCUAGCUUUUAAAAUUCUCAGAAUGUCCGAAAACUAUACUCCUGAAGUUUCUAAGCCUAUAGUACCUAGGGAAGGUGAUUAGCUAUAAUGAAAAUAAGGAAAUUACCUUCAACAUUGUGUAUGGUCAUGAACAAUGUUUGCCACCUAAAGGAAAAUUUUCUCUAGAUGAGGAAGAACAUGAAUUAAAUGAAAAUUCCCACUUCCAGUG